CCAAAUCAGAUAAUUUUCACAGAUAUUAAAUGAUGCCUCUAGAGGGGUAUUUGAGUCAUAUUUACACCCAUAUAUAUAUAUUCUAUAAACACGGAAUUAAGCCCUUAUUUCACCAAAACAUACUCUUUGUCUCAAAAUCCUCUCAAGAACACAUUAGGGUUUUCAACUGAGGAUUCUAGUUCAGGCAAAUUUCUCCAUCAGUCAUCAAGAAUCUUCCAUCUAAGGUAUGCGUA
rnacentral:lncRNA from 1 species